UGAUAUGCCUUCCUGGUACUCCUGCAAAA
rnacentral:piRNA from 1 species